rnacentral:rRNA from 1 species
GACGAACGCUGGCGGCGUGCUUAACACAUGCAAGUCGAACGGAAAGGCCCUGCUUUUGUGGGGUGCUCGAGUGGCGAACGGGUGAGUAACACGUGAGUAACCUGCCCUUGACUUUGGGAUAACUUCAGGAAACUGGGGCUCAUACCGGAUAGGAGCUCCUGCUGCAUGGUGGGGGUUGGAAAGUUUCGGCGGUUGGGGAUGGACUCGCGGCUUAUCAGCUUGUUGGUGGGGUAGUGGCUUACCAAGGCUUUGACGGGUAGCCGGCCUGAGAGGGUGACCGGCCACCGGGGAGCUGAGACACGGGCAAGAGUCCUACGGGAGGCAGCAGUAGGGAAUCGGCCGCCAGGGGCGAGAGCUUGGCGGAGCGACGCCGCGUGAGUGAUGAAGGUCCUCGGAUCGUAAAACGCUGUUAUGAGGGAAGAACAAAUGUGUAAGUAACUAUGCACGUCUUGACGGUACCUAAUCAGAAAGCCACGGCUAACUACGUG